rnacentral:ncRNA from 1 species
UGGCUGUAUUGUUACAGUCAGGGUGAAACGAGAAGCCAGUUAAAAUCUGGCGCUGCCCCCGCAACGGUAAGCGAGAAACUAUUUCAUUCAGCCACUGUGCAUUAGCAAGAGCAUGGGAAGGCGAAAUAGAUGUUAAAGACUCGCAAGCCCGGAGACCGGCCUAAUCUAU